ensembl:lncRNA
GGAACCCAGAAGUUUGAGAGAGUGUGUCUAGAGUUCUGAAGGUAGCAGUCAACUUAGAUAUCUACAUCCAGAAAAAAGUAUCUUUCAAGAAUGAGAGCGAAGAAGUCAUUUUCAGGAAAAAUCUAAAAAUAAAAGGAAGAAAUAUGCUACAAUUGGAUCACCUUAAAAGUCAUUCUGAAAGGUAGAUAAACUUCAGGAAGCUAGUCUGACAAAGGAAGGGAUGAUGAGCAGUCCAAGAUGAGACCCAAGGUAUAGUCUGGCCCUUUCUUCAAGCUAGCACUUGAAGUGGCUGCUGGGGAAGAAGAGACAACCUGCAAGCUGUGUAACCUUAUGAGCUCAAACGUCUCUUUCCAACAUGGGAACUGCAGUGUCAGCACUAGAAGCACCGCAUAACAUGGGCCCAUCAGUUCCUGCUCAAUGCAGACAGUAACCAGAGAGUUUCUAUGCUAUCUGCAGGAUACAUCUAUCAUGAGCCCUUUGUAACAAAUGGAGCCGUGAUUCCCUCUGCAGCAAGAUAGCCCCACGUUGCCACAGGGCUCCACAUCAGUAAUUGCUGGAAACUAAAAUGAAACUAACUUGAGUCAAGAAGGGAAUUAUUAGCUUAUAAAGCUUAGCGGUCCAGGAACCAGAGAAACGAUACCAUGAGGAUUCCAUCUCCCUGUCGCCAUCUUGCUCCUCUCUAUUGGCUUUAGUCUCUGGAAAGUCUACUACAAGUAUAUAAAACUUGCCGUAUCUGAGGAAAAUAUUCAAAAGAGAAUUCUAACAAGAAGCAAAAAUGACAGAAAAUGUACAUUGUAAGAUAGCGAGAAAUAACAAGUAAAGAACAAGCGGGAGUGGACCAGUGAGAGAAACCCACUCGAGCCUCCUGAGCUGAAAACAGGACAACAGGACUGGACGCAGAUCUGCCUCCCUGGUCCUCUCUCUGCCCACAGAGUGAUUGGAAUGCAGAACCAAUGGGAGCAGCAUGAAGCACUGUUACAGCACAUCUACAAAGCUACAUGCCAUCGGGAAUUAAAGCAGACUCUUGUGUUUUGUCAGCUUUAGCCAAAUAAUGUGAGCUUGCAGAGCCGUGGCCUCCCAACAGCACAAGGCCCAGAGGAAAUGGCCCAGAACAGAGGCCAACAUCCAUUAAGGGCGUCCACAGGGACAGCCAGAGUGCGUCUCCCCAUCUCCCCAGGCAGAUGGUCACACUGGCGGUUGAGCCAGUGUCUGCCCAGUGGAAGGAGGAAAGACAGAGCACGGUGGUAGCUGCCAAGCGCUGGAAUGAGCAGCAGCCACUGGGGAAUGGACUGAAGCAGAGACUUCAUGCUGCAGGGAAGAAAGUUCAGCUUAGAAGAGAGUACCCUGUGCACUGCUCCUCAGGAUGCUCCUCUUGACUCUCCUCCUCCAUCAGUCUCCUGACCACAGUCCUAUUCUAGUCCUUGGGGUCUUCCCCGCAUGGUGACCUUAAAGCAACGACACCAAAGUCCCCUCUGAUCCCACCAAAGCCACCCUAAUUCCUAAAAUCCCUAGGGCCCCUGUAGGCUCAAACCACACCCUCCACUCACCUGUUUCAAUAUGUCUCCCCAGCUGUACCCAACACUCUCUCCUGGCUCCACUGUUUCUUCACAGCCUGCCAUCCACGCACCAGCAAGCCAAGACAAGAGAUCUCCUCCCUGGACUACACUAAAAUGAUUCUCUGGCUUUUACUCUUGGACAGCUAGCUUCCUGCUCUCCUUUUUGCUGCCUGCCCACUCCAGAAGGCUGCCUGCCAGCCUUCUAGAUAUCUGACUCAGCCACUGGCUCAGCUCAGAUCAGCCUUGCUGUUCAUCCACCCCUAGUCCCAGCUUGAGGUGGGCUAGACAUUUGAUUCAAGAACCCCUUUGAUUUCGAUAUCUCUGUAGCCUCAAGGAAGAUACUCAAGCACCAGAACCCUGCUGAGCACUAGAGGAGCCUCCCUGGGGCAGUCAUCCCAGCUUCCUUCCUGAGAAGGGGGAUUCAGACAGUCCUGAUAACUCCUUUCCCUCUGCACUACUGUCCACGCUAUUCCUGUGCCUAAAACAACAUUGACAGGUCUCUGUGCUCUGUCACCAGUACUGCAACACCAAAGAAGUACCUCAGCCAGGCACCCAGCUUCUGAUCCCAGGGAGCAUUCUAUUCUCUCUCACUUGAUCACGUCCACCUCACAUGAGGGCCUGCCAUACUGCUGCAGGUUUGUGUGCAUCCCACUUCCUCUACCCAAAAGCACAAUCAUUAUGGCACACACCGUCCCCACCUUUAUGUGUCCUUCAAAAUCGAGUAAAAUACCUUGGUAGGUACCUUGGGCCUGAGUAAAUUUUACUGAGUUGAGUCAUGACCCAUUUGAUGUAUGUUGGAGAGAAACAAUAUGGGACAGCUCUGCAGGCCACUGGGUGGUGCCCCUUCCUCUGGGAAACCCAACCCCUCCCUCCAGUGCUUCAUUUGAGGUCGUGGUAAAAAUUAGUUUCCAAACCAAACCACAGGUCGGUCUCCACUCCUUCUGUGAUGACGCAGGUGUGGUGCAAACCACACCAACUCAGUGCUCCUCACAUAUCCCUUUGUGUGUUUCUGCCUUUGAUUUAUGCAAAUGAAUUUUGCUCCCCAAAUACAAGUUCCUCACCAGGAAGGCCCUAACGUUGAUUACUAUAUUUAUAUUUUAUCAAUAUUUGGGAUUCAAUUUUUGAUAUAUGUUUUCAAGGCAUCUCUAUCUGAAUGAGCCAUCGCAGAAGCAACAGAACUCUGCCUGAAAGCAAAAGGGCCAGCAGGAAAAAAGGAAAAGUCAUCUGUGUCUAGUGUUUUCUGUGUGUCAGGCACUCAGUGCUCCAGACUAUUAAUCCAUUUCAUUUCCAGUCAACUUCAUGGAGUAGCUGUAAUUAUCAUCCCCAAUUUGCAAAUGAGGAAACUAAGACAGGGAGAGCUUAAAUAACUUCACACAAAGUCAAGUCAGCACCCACAUUCUCAGCCACUUUCGACUGUUUACUGCCCAAGUUAUCAGCUGUGUUCUGGGCUCUGAGCUGGCACAGCAAGGAUGGGGUGCCAGGAGGGCUCCUCUCUGCCUCUCCAAGGAAUCCUAACUUCCCCAGGAAGUGAGGAGUGGAAGGUUCUGCAUCUCUAACUUUCUCUUCUACCUGUGUAGGGAAUUUUUAACCUCCUUGUUAGUGAUCAGCCAGGGAAAGAUGUAAAAUGCUGCUCAUUGUGCUUGCUGAACUCAAGGUACCAAAGGGUGACUCAGCAAAGCUGAGAGUCAAGAGCCAUUUCUUUCCUGGUUACUUAGAAUCCUAUGUGCAAACUAUAGAGUCUCAUGAAAAACUAAGCCUCUUUCUAACAGCCAGCUCUAGCUUGCCAGCCAUGUGAGUGGCUUCCUUGGGAGUUGAUGCCCUAGCCUCAGUCAAGCCUUUAGAUGAUCCAUCCUCAAAUAACAGCCUGACUGAAACCCCAUGGGAGUUCCUGAGCUGGAAGCACCCAGCCAAGCCCCACCUGGAUCCUGACCCCGAGAAACUGUGUGAGUUAAAUGUUUGCUGUUUAAGCUGCUAAAUUUGAGGAUAAUUUGUUAGACUAAAGUCAAUAACUAGUAAGAUUAUGCAUUUGCAUAUAUUAUCUCUUGUAUUAGGUUUUAGAUUCCUUGAAACGAUGAUUCAGUAUAUCAUGUUGUAUCUAGCACAGUGCCUAAAACCUGAUUAAGUCCUCCAGAAAUGUUCUUUGCACACAUGAAUAAAUGAAUGAAUUUCUUAUCAACAUCAGGGCUAAUUUUAUUUGUCACACUUUUAUUAAGAAUCUAAUGGGGGACAGCCCGGUGGUGGAGUGGUUAAGUUCACACGUUCGGCUUCUCGGUGGCCCGGGGUUCGCCAGUUUGGAUCCCAGGUGCGGACAUGGCAUUACUUGGCAAAAAGCCCUGCUG